rnacentral:rRNA from 1 species
GUGGAUUAGCUACCCUAGUAGUCCACGCCCUCAACGGUGCACACUAGGUCUUGGCGGAUUCGACCCCACCAGGGCCCAAGCUAACGCGUUAAGUGUGCCGCCUGAGGACUACGGCCGCAAGGCUAAAACUCAAAGGAAUUGACGGGGGCCCGCACAAGCGGUGGAGUAUGUGGCUCAAUUCGAUGCAACGCGAAGAACCUUACCAGGCCUUGACAUGCACUAGACAGACGCUGAAAGGCGUUCUCCCUUCGGGGCUGGUGCACAGGUGCUGCAUGGCCGUCGUCAGCU